UACGUAGGGUGCGAGCGUUAAUCGGAAUUACUGGGCGUAAAGCGUGCGCAGGCGGUUUUGUAAGUCAGAUGUGAAAUCCCUGAGCUCAACUUAGGAACUGCGUUUGAAACUACAAGACUAGAAUAUGUCAGAGGGGGGUAGAAUUCCACGUGUAGCAGUGAAAUGCGUAGAGAUGUGGAGGAAUACCAAUGGCGAAGGCAGCCCCCUGGGAUAAUAUUGACGCUCAUGCACGAAAGCGUGGGGAGCAAACAGG
rnacentral:rRNA from 1 species